rnacentral:rRNA from 1 species
AUACGUAGGUGACAAGCGUUAUCCGGAUUUACUGGGCGUAAAGGGCGUGUAGGCGGUCUUGCAAGUCAGAAGUGAAAUUCCUGAGCUCAACUCGGGCGCUGCUUCUGAAACUGCAGGACUUGAGUGCUGGAGGGGAUAGCGGAAUUCCUAGUGGAGCGGUAAAAUGCGCAGAUAUUAGGAAGAACACCGGUGGCGAAGGCGGCUAUCUGGACAGUAACUGACGCUGAGGCGCGAAAGCGUGGGGAGCAAACAGGAUUAGAUUCCCUGGUAGUCCACGCCGUAAACGAUGAAUACUAGGUGUAGGGGGUAUCGACUCCCUCUGUGCCGCAGUUAACACAAUAAGUAUUCCGCCUGGGGAGUACGGCCGCAAGGUUGAAACUCAAAUGAAUUGACGUGG